rnacentral:lncRNA from 1 species
AGAGACUCACAGCCUCAUGGUGGUGUUGCCUGAGCUCCUGUUUGCAGGACAGAGUGUGCAUGCCUCUGAGAGUAAGGAAGUGUGUGUGAGGAGUGCCCAGCAGAGCAGGCAGAGCAGCAUGCUGACUCUGAUGAGAAAAUGGAAAUGCAGUGCAGUGAGCAGUAUGCUGUCUGCGGUUCAAUGA